rnacentral:rRNA from 1 species
UGGUGGAGUGAUUUGUCUGGUUAAUUCCGUUAACGAACGAGACCUCAGCCUGCUAACUAGUUACGCGGAGUUCAUCUUCGCGGACAACUUCUUAGAGGGACUAUGAGCGUUCAGCUCAUGGAAGUUUGAGGCAAUAACA